UUUUUCUGGGUGUCAGUGACGUGGGGGGUAUUUAACCACCUCGACCUGCAGACAGUGUCUUACAGUAGUAGAGCCUCCUCGACCUGCACACAGUGUCUUACAGUACUAAAGCCUCGGGAAGCAAAGGUGAACAACAUGAAGACAUUCGUGCUUGUUUUCGUUUUCCUGAUCUUAGCUGCAUUUUACACAGUGACGUGGGGGCUAUUUAACCACCUCGACCUGCAGAACGUGUCUUAAAGUACUACAGCCUCGGGAAGCAAAGGUGAACAACAUGAAGACAUUUGCGCUGGUUUUUUUCGUUUUCCUGAUCUUGGCUGCAGUUUGCACAGAUGCCAAUCCCAUCAUGAAGGAGAGCGUUGCUAAGCAGCUCUUCCGCAGCAAGAGGCAGGAUAAUCCCUACGAGUGGGGGAUCAUGCUGGACCUGAUCGAGAGGUGCUGGGAGCAGAAAUCAGUUCCGGUGAUGGUCUAGCGCCGAGCUGGAGGGGACCGCGUCCAGGGGGCCCCCACAACGUGACCCGACGGACGCACGACAACAACGAAGGCGACGACGAGGAAUCAAAGACGAGAGCGCG